UUUUUUUUUUUUUUUUUCUGUUUCCCAUAUCCCAAGUUCUCCUAUCCUUCCUGCACUGUACCCCUUACUUUGGUUAGGAGGCUGACCAGGAGGUAGUGUAAUAAGGAGAGAGUAAUGUGACUGUGGACAUAGCCUUCAGACAGGCCAGGAUUUGAAUCUUGGCUCUGUUGCAGACCUUUAUUUAAACACUCUUGCAAAUUACUGAACACUUCAGUUCCUUACGAUGUAAAAUAGAGACAAUUCUAAGGGUAUUGUGAGAACUAAAUAGCUUUCUACACACACCCCCACACACACAGCUUUCUAGGCACCACCAAAUGCUCAAUAAAUGCUUAAAAUGAUGUAGUAAUCACUGCAGUGACCCACCCAGGUUUCCCUGAAUUCCUUUACUGUUUCCUGAAUUUCUUCCUAGGUCCAGGACUCUUAUUUCCAAUGGCCUGUCCAUUUGUCUGUUUUUAGAGGAUUAUCCUAUGACUGUGAGAGAAGUAAUUGGGAGUUUACAUGGCCCUUAGAUGUUCUUAGCUAUGACUGAUGAUGCAAGUGUAUGAAAACCCAAGUUCCUCCCAGUCGCUUUAUGGCAGACAACUCAAUUUAUGCUCUAAGGUUCCCUUGUAGAUUUAGGCCAAAGCUCCCUAUUAUGAGACUUGGCCAAAAAUAGCAUACUUUGUUUGACUUCCCCUUUCCUCUCCUCAUACCCACUCUCUUACUGAUUUCUUCUGGGGGAACUUUCUUAAUAAGUCAUUUACACAAAUUUUCAUCUGCUUCUGGGUAAUUUUUAAGACAUGUACCAAUAUAAUUAUUAUUCUCACCUCCGCAUAGUGCAAGUUGUUCAAAUGCUUCUGUUUAAGAGACAGAAUAUUGAUUUUUGUUCAAGUGGACAAAUGUUCUGAAAAAAUUCCCAACAAGGCAACUUUAACUUAUCACACCACAGAUGAAAUGUAGAGUAUAGUGAAUUCAGUGAAUUAUGAGAAGAUAAAGGAGGUUUAGUGAAUUAUGAGAAGUAAAGCAGGUGGCAUGGGCAUUUAUAAGAUAAUUCAUAAUAAUUCAAUCUUUAGAAAUUGUUUUCCUUUCCCCACUUUGUUUCUGUACUGCUAAGCCUACAAGGAAUGAAACAUUUUCUAGUCUGUGAACUAGAUUCUGCUCUACAUCAAGAAAGUGUGGUUUCAGUACGUCUCAUCUCCUUUCCUCCCUUCCAAGAGAGCUAGGACUAAAGACAGCAUGUCAAGAUGUUGCAACAAGUCCCCUUACCUGAGUCACUGUGAAAAGGAGACAUGAGAAUCCAACACUUGAGAGCCAAGCAUGGACACAUAGUGCAGCUGGAGCGGGAAGAGAAAAGUGGAGAUCCUACAGAGGCAGGUUAAGGGCAAGAACAAUGAAGAACCUUCAAGAAGCAUCCAGAGUAAUUGCCAGCCAGUCUCUUGGGUCAUGGCAUAUGUGGUGGCAUAUCAGGCUAUCUCAAAAGUUCGACCACAGAGAUUUUAGAGCUAAAGACCACCCAGGAUGGGAGGGGGAGGUGUCUAUUGAACAUCAGUGUCAAGCCAACCACAUCACUCCCAAUGGGGUCAUUAAAGGACUUAUGUAACUUGUUCUUCUCAUGGAUUAUCUCUUUGUUUCUAUUCUCUCCUCUGUACCCCACUCCUAUAUAGGUCACAAAUUAAAAAGUAAAUUUUCUGUCACUAACAUCAAAGAGGAAAUCAAAUAACCAACAGGAAUCAACAUGUUUAAUGUUCUCCUCUGCCCUAAGGGGCAGUCUCACACCUAUCCUAUACUACAUAAGUUUUGUGACAGCCUUCUCUAAGCCGCUGCAUUUUGGUUAGUUAAGACUACUAAAAAUGCAAUUCCAAACAUGUGGAGCAGCACUAUCUUUAUUUUUCACCUGCAUUCGCCUUUCUUGCAUUUCAUGGGGGAAAGUUGUAUAGUUUUCCAACUUUGAUCACUACCUUCCAUCUCUCUUCCCUUUUUCCAAUUCUAGUUCAAAUCAGAUGGACCUUGGGGGCAUUCUAAAAAAUUAAAGGGAUAUGCUUUUGUUUAGCCAAGAUUACCUUCCACUCUGUAGCAAAAUUAAACUCCCUACCAAAUCCAUCCACACAACUGCAACGCCAUUCACUUUUUAAAAUUGGGGCUUUACCUUUAAAUUGACAACUACAGAGAGGACUUUUAACCACUUACAUUAGGCCAGUUCUGUUGUUUUACAGAAGAGGAGAAAUCAAUUAUUUAUUUUUCUCUACCUUUUGCUCUUGCCAAGGCCAUGACAUGAUAAAUACAUUGAGAAAGCAGAGCAGAAGCACACACACAAUUUUUUCACAAGGCCUCUUUUCCCUGUUGUCAUGGUUUCCAUGAAGAUUGUUACAUAUAAUACUAUUCAGAUGAUGUUCUAUUUGUUUGUUUGCUUGCCUACUUGUUUUGAAUAUUACAUUCUUUCAAUGCUUUAGUGUGCAAGAAGGUGGUGGUAAGGAACUUAGAACUCUCAAUAUCUAGUUCCCUCACUCCAGCUUGCUUUCAAACAAGUUAUUUACACACGAGCACAUUCUUUUAUUUAAUCCAUAGAGGUUGACAAGCUGUUUUGGGUUACUUCAGACCUUGUGCUCAACAGAUAUAAGUUAUUCUGAAGGUCACUGAUCAACUCUAUAUUGUUAAAUGUGGUCACUAAAUUCCAUUCAGUGAUUUCCAUCAUAUUUGUCUUUUCAGCGACACGUGACCUUUCAGCAAUCAAUCAUUGCAUCUGCUUUGAAACAUGUUUUUCACUUGUCUUCUAGGACAUGGUACUAUUUUUAUUGAUUAAUUGAUUGAUUGAUUGAGAUAGAGUCUCACUCUGUUGCCCAGGCUGGAGUGCAGUGGCGCGAUCUCGGCUCACUUGCAACCUCUGCCUCCUGGGUUCAAGCGAUUCUUCUGCCUUAGCCUCUAGAGUAGCUGGGACUACAGGCACACGCCACCUGUAAAAAAAAUUAGUCCAGCUAAUUUUUGUAUUUUUAAUAGAGACAAGGUGUCACCAUAUUGGCCAGGCUGGUCUCAAACUCCUGGCCUCGUGAUCUGCCUGACUCGGCCUCCCAAAGUGCUGGGAUUACAGAUGUGAGCCAGCACGCCUGGCCAGUACUCUUUUUGACCUCAUUCUCAGCUUCAUUGGCUAGUUUCUCCGCAUCUCCCUGAACUCCAAGGUUCAGUUCAUAGAUGCCUUCUCUAAGAGGUGUUCUAAGGGAUCUCAUCUAGUCUCAUGGCUUUAAAUGCCAUCUAUAUGCUGACGAUACUUAAAUUUCUAUCUCCAACUUUGCCUCUUUCCUCAACUGCAGACUCAUAUAUCCAAGUGCUUACUUGCUACCUCCACUUGAAUAUCUAAUGGACAUCUUAUUCUUAACAUAUCCAAAAUCAGUGUCUUUACAUACACAUGCCACAAAAAAACCUCCUCCAGUCUUCCCCACCUCAAUUUAUUAAAUCUCCAUUCUACCAGUCACUUAGAUUCAUAUCUUGGUGGUAGCCAUAACUCUACUCUUACUCUAACAGGCAUCAUCAAAUUCUAUUGUUUCUACUAGAAAGAUGUAUCCAGAACUUGACUACUUACCACCCCUACUACUAUCAUCCUGGUCCUAUCCUCUCUGAAUAACUUCUGUAGCCUUCUAACUGAUCUCCCGCCAUUCACCCUUGCACUCUUUUCAUCUAUCCUCAGUCAACAUAACAUUCAUUAUUCUGCACAAAACCCUCCAAUGUUUUGUGCACAAAAAGCUCCAAUGGUUUCCCACGGGACUCAGAGCAAAAGCCAAUGUUCCUUUUAUGGCUUGUAAGAUCCUAUGUGGCCUGGUCUUCAUUACCUCUGUGAUGUCAUUUAUAACUCUCUUCCUC
rnacentral:lncRNA from 1 species